AGUGAACGCUGGCGGUAGGCCUAACACAUGCCAGUCGAACGGCAGCACAGUAAGAGCUUGCUCUUACGGGUGGCGAGUGGCGGACGGGUGAGGAAUACAUCGGAAUCUACUUUUUCGUGGGGGAUAACGUAGGGAAACUUACGCUAAUACCUCAUACGACUUACGGGUGAAAGCAGGGGAUCUUCGUACCUUGCGCGAUUGAAUGAGCCGAUGUCGGAUUAGCUAGUUGGCGGGGUAAAGGCCCACCAAGGCGACGAUCCGUAGCUGGUCUGAGAGGAUGAUCAGCCACACUGGAACUGAGACACGGUCCAGACUCCUACGGGAGGCAGCAGUGGGGAAUAUUGGACAAUGGGCGCAAGCCUGAUCCAGCCAUACCGCGUGGGUGAAGAAGGCCUUCGGGUUGUAAAGCCCUUUUGUUGGGAAAGAAAAGCAGCAGGUUAAUACCCCGAUGUUCUGACGGUACCCAAAGAAUAAGCACCGGCUAACUUCGUG
rnacentral:rRNA from 1 species